UGCCGCGUGAGUGAAGAAGGCCUUCGGGUUGUAAAGCUCUUUCGGCCGGGAAAAAAUCGCAUCAGUUAAUACCUGGUGUGGAUGAUGGUACCGGAAUAAGAAGCACCGGCUAACUACGUGCCAGCAGCCGCGGUAAUACGUAUGGUGCGAGCGUUAAUCGGAAUUACUGGGCGUAAAGCGUGCGCAGGCGGUUUGAUAAGACAGGCGUGAAAUCCCCGGGCUCAACCUGGGAACUGCGUUUGUGACUGUCUCACUAGAGUACGGCAGAGGGGGGUGGAAUUCCACGUGUAGCAGUGAAAUGCGUAAAGAUGUGGAGGAACACCAAUGGCGAAGGCAGCCCCCUGGGUCGAUACUGACGCUCAUGCACGAAAGCGUGGGUAGCAAACAGGAUUAGAUACCCUGGUAGUCCACGCCCUAAACGAUGUCAACUAGGUGUUGGGAGGGUAAAACCUUUUAGUACCGUAGCUAACGCGAGAAGUUGACCGCCUGGGGAGUACGGCCGCAAGGUUAAAACUC
rnacentral:rRNA from 1 species